rnacentral:lncRNA from 1 species
UUGUCUUUGCCUUCUGAUAUACAACUCCUAAAAUCCUUGGGAUCUCUAAAGUGAUGUCUUUUUGUAUGCUAGUAAGAUGACUGAUGGCGGACAGCUCCUAUGUAGCUUCAGGAUAGGGACUGGACAUCUGAAAGACCAGGGCAUGAUUAGAGGGGUUGAAACUUUCAGCCCACCCCCCAAACUCCCAGAGUUUGGGGGAGAGGGACUGAAAGUGACGUUGAUCGCCAGUGGCCAAUGAUUUAAUCAAUCAUGCCUAUGUAAUGAGGGCUCCUAAAAACCCAAAAGGACAGGGUUCAGAGAGCUUGUGGAUAGCCAAAUGUGUGGGGGCUUCCAGGAAGGUGGGCAAGAACACGUCCACAUGCUGGGAGAAUGGCACUUCGCAACUCCUUGCAGACCAUUCCCUCCCCAACCCCUGCCCAAUUUAUUGUGCUGGGCACUUUGUAGUCCUUUUUUCUAGUUUUUUUACUAUUGAACAAAUUACCCCAAAUACAGUAGCUUAAAUUUGAGGAGGAUUCAGCUGGGCAGCUUUCUGUUGGGAUCUCUCAUGCAGCUGCAGUCAGGUAUUGGCUGAGGUUAUAGUCAUCUGAAGGCUUGACUGGGUCAUGUCACCAAUACAUUGUUUUGUUGCAUCCAAUAAUAAAUUCUGUCUUCAUUUUGCAAUCCCGUCCUUGACCUGACUUAGGGACCACGGGCUGCAGCCUCCAGACGUCAGCCAUGUUUCCAACAGUCAGACGCCCCGAGAGGCUCACCUCAAAGCGCUGCGCACGAGGCCGGGCUCCCGGGACGCAAGCCUCUAGAAGGCGCGCGAGAGGCCCCGCCCCCGCCCGCCGGCCCCACUCACCAGCUCCGCCCCCACCUCCCCACCCACCAGCCCUGC